rnacentral:lncRNA from 10 species
CUUUCUUCUCGUCUGUCGCCAUGUGAGAUGUACCUUUCACUUUCCUCCAUGAUUGUGAGGCCUCCUUAGCCACAUGGAACUGCCCUGGCAAUCACUAUUCCAGUCUCUGCUUCUAUGAGUUUGACUAUUUCAGAUUCCACAUGAAAUGCUGGAGUCCUUCAUCCGAAUGGUAAAUGGCACUUGUGACAAAAAUCAAAGUAACUAAAAAAGAAUCUGGUUGAAACCUCAGUAACAGUUGGCCUGUCUACUGCCUCACACUAACAAGGGGGAGCUAAUAAAACCGAGGUUAGAACACACAAUGUGGAAAUGAAAACCUUAUUCUUGUCAAUGGAUGGAGGGUGGUGACCCCCACCUUUACAAGUGUCUGUAAUUCUCACUAGCAGUAUAUUAGAGGGCAAAAGAUUUGAACAGACACAUCAGAAAAGAAGACAUACAAAUGGCCGCUAAGCACUUGAAAGGAUUCUGAACACCAUUAGUCAUCAGUGAAAUGCAAAUUAAAGCCAUAAUGAAUGGCGCUAUACAUUUUCAGAAUGGCAAGGAUUGAAGACCGAAAAAAAUCAAGCGUUGAGGAGAGUGACAAAUGGGGAGACAGCCGUGGUGCAUGAUCGCCGAAUAAAUACCAUGUGAGGAUACAGCAAGAAGGUGGCCAUCUACAAGCCAAGGAGACAGGCCUCAGAAGAAACCAACCCUUCUUACACCCUGGACUCAGACUUCUAAUCUCCAGAACUUGUUAAUGCACAAGGUCUUGUGUUGAAAAUGUAGAGCCACGAGAUAAAAGCAGCUUGGAUGGCUGACUCAUAUACAAGGACAACUGCCUGAGAGUCACCAGGGCUAUCAAGAAGUUUGCAGAAACAAGAAAUAAACUUUUACUGUUUUAAACUUUUGUGAAUUUUGGGUUUUGUUUAUCACCAAAUAAACCUAGUCUAUUCUGAUUGUUAUAAGUGGUUAAUUUGGGAAGUCAGAUAUAUUUAAAAUUGGCUUACUGCUGUAACAUAUACAGUCCAAAUUACAUAAUGGCUCAAAUGCAAUAGAAGUCUUUUUUUUUUUUGCUCACAUAUCACUUCACUGAGAUUCUGCAUUAAUUGUAAUGAUGAGGGUGAGGGUGUCUUAUAUCAUACAGUUGUUCAGCAACCCAGGAUGACCAACUUUGUAAUAUUUUUUCCCACUGGCUUCUAAAGUUCU